GCAUCAGAUGGGAGGUGGGAUGGUUCCCGAAGUCGGAGCUGACAUAUCCCACGCGGAGCCGCCCUUCGCU
rnacentral:miRNA from 11 species